GACGAACGCUGGCGGCGUGCUUAACACAUGCAAGUCGAGCGGUAAGGCCCUUUCGGGGGUACACGAGCGGCGAACGGGUGAGUAACACGUGGGUGACCUGCCCUUAGCUCUGGGAUAAGCCUGGGAAACUGGGUCUAAUACCGGAUAUGACUCCAUGACGCAUGUUGUGGGGUGGAAAGCCUCGUGCGGCUAGGGAUGGGCCUGCGGCCUAUCAGCUUGUUGGUGGGGUGAUGGCCUACCAAGGCGACGACGGGUAGCCGGCCUGAGAGGGCGACCGGCCACACUGGGACUGAGACACGGCCCAGACUCCUACGGGAGGCAGCAGUGGGGAAUCUUGCGCAAUGGGCGAAAGCCUGACGCAGCGACGCCGCGUGGGGA
rnacentral:rRNA from 1 species